rnacentral:rRNA from 1 species
AAACUGAGGAUAAUACUGGAUAGGCAAUUAUUCCUGCAAUGGUUUUUUGUUUAAAUGUUUUUUCGCCUAAGGAUGGGUCUGCGGCCGAUUAGGUAGUUGGUUAGGUAAUGGCUUACCAAGCCGUUGAUCGGUACGGGUUGUGAGAGCAAGAGCCCGGAGAUGGAACCUGAGACAAGGUUCCAGGCCCUACGGGGUGCAGCAGGCGCGAAACCUCCGCAAUGUGAGAAAUCGCGACGGGGGGAUCCCAAGUGCCAUUCUUAACGGGAUGGCUUUUCAUUAGUGUAAAGAGCUUUUGGAAUAAGGGCUGGGCAAGACCGGUGCCAGCCGCCGCGGUAACACCGGCAGCUCUAGUGGUAGCAGUUUUUAUUGGGCCUAAAGCGUCCGUAGCCGGUUUAAUAAGUCUCUGGUGAAAUCCUGUAGCUUAACUGUGGGAAUUGCUGGAGAUACUAUUAGACUUGAGACCGGGAGAGGUUAGAGGUACUCCCAGGGUAGAGGUGAAAUUCUGUAAUCCUGGGAGGACCGCCUGUUGCGAAGGCGUCUAACUGGAACGGUUCUGACGGUGAGGGACGAAAGUUAGGGGCGCGAACCGGAUUAGAUACCCGGGUAGUCCUAACCGUAAACGAUGCGGACUUGGUGUUGGGGUGGCUUUGAGCUGCUCCAGUGCCGAAGGGAAGCUGUUAAGUCCGCCGCCUGGGAAGUACGGUCGCAA